GGAUAACUGUUUUUCUACCACAGGCAUCCAGGUGUGCAUUGAGUUUUCAGUGUGAGUACGCUCGUUGAUAAUCACUUCUUAUUCUGUUGCAGGUUGAAGCGGCAACAGACAGGGAACACUUGCGUACAGCUCUGUUCGGACUGCAUUCUCACUCGAGGGGAAACAUACAGUCUGAAGACUGAAGAGGAUAACCGCCAAGGUGUUGC
rnacentral:lncRNA from 13 species